GAUGAACGCUGGCGGCGUGCCUAAUACAUGCAAGUCGAGCGAACAGACGAGGAGCUUGCUCCUCUGACGUUAGCGGCGGACGGGUGAGUAACACGUGGAUAACCUACCUAUAAGACUGGGAUAACUUCGGGAAACCGGAGCUAAUACCGGACAAUAUAUUGAACCGCAUGGUUCAAUAGAGAAAGACGGUUUUGCUGUCACUAAUAGAUGGAUCCGCGCCGCAUUAGCUAGUUGGUAAGGUAACGGCUUACCAAGGCAACGAUGCGUAGCCGACCUGUGAGGGUGAUCGGCCACACUGGAACUGAGACACGGUCCAGACUCCUACGGGAGGCAGCAGUAGGGAAUCUUCCGCAAUGGGCGAAAGCCUGACGGAGCAACGCCGCGUGAGUGAUGAAGGUCUUCGGAUCGUAAAACUCUGUUAUUAGGGAAGAACAAAUGUGUAAGUAACUAUGCACGUCUUGACGGUACCUAAUCAGAAAGCCACGGCUAACUACGUG
rnacentral:rRNA from 1 species